AGGGCCCGGGGUAUCCCUGACUAGGCUUAAAAAUGGCGGCCGACAGGUUCCCUCUACGUUUGGCAACUUGGCUUCUGUUUCUGUUCCUGAUGGGUUUCUUGUUUGUGAGUUACGCCCAGGACGAUACAGGGUGGGACCCGGCUGACUACCCUGACCCUAUCCGAGCCCCUGAGCUGUGUGGGAGGCACAACUGGUCAGCAUCCUUUGUUUGUGACCCGGACGGGAUUCUCACAACAGAUGAAGCUAAUGGCCUGGAUGUAGAACUCAUCACCACUGUAAGGGACACGCCCUGUCCCUGUGAGGAGUGUCCCGGGAAGAACGACGGUUACAACAUCGCCGUGGCGCUCAUGAAGAGGAUGGACUCCUCUGGAGGUUCAACACCACGGGUGAGGGCGCAGGGCUUCGCCAUGUACCUGCGAUCCGUCGCAUGGGAUUAUGGGAGAUGUAACGAGGGCGUGGUCAUCUUAGUCUCCACGGAAGACAGACAGAUCUACACGGCUACGGGGGCUACCGCUCGCGAAAAGCUCACCGACGACAUGGUGGACGACAUCUACGGGGACACCCGGGAGUACUUCACCGCUGGAAUGUGGGCAGAAGGACUAAAGGAGAUGGCGACAAGAUACAAGAAGGUCUUCGCUGGAGGCAGCUCUUCGACUACAGCCGCGGUCGUAGGCACUAUGUUUGGAGUUGUAGGAAUCUGUGGGAUCGGUGUGUUCUGUAUUAUAUGUAAGAAUGGAUGUAAUUGUAGAGGAGGCGGAAGUUCCAGUUUUCAUGACACUUGGAAUCGCACGAACUAUUGGGGUGGAGGCGAUGGCGGUGAUAGUGGUGGUGGAGGUGGGGAUGGCGGGGGCGGAGGAGGGUUCUAGGGGAGGGACUAUCAAAUAAACUUUCCGAUGCGUUACAUGGUAAAGUCCUGCAAAAAUAAUCGCCACCUCGAAACACAUUUAGUUACCUAACGUUACAUUUCAAAGCUUAAUGCAAAGCUGGAUUUCGACUGUUAGGUUUCUUUUGGUUAAAAAAUUGGGAAGGUAUCUUCAGCUUGGGAAGGUAUCUUCAGCGUUUCAAGAGCUACAGCCAGAGGAUUUGAACGACACCAGGAUUUCCCCCCAUGACCUAAUUGGUCAGUCCAGCCCGUGAGUUGUCAUUCAGAGGUCAACUACAGCUCAAAACAUGACAAAGGUCACCGUUCUUGCUAGAUUCAAAAAUAUACAAGCCCGUGUCCACCCCGCGCGCGAAAACGAUCCCAAAAGUUAUUUGAAAUACGAUGUAUAAGAAUAUUCAUGUAAGCAUGCCUGCACAACUCAAAUGCUGGUAGUUCCCCUCUAACAUCACUGCAAUGUAAACGUUUUUUUAGCUUUUUAGAUUGUUGUUAUUACAGAUACGAGUCUUGUUUUAUUUUAUGUUUAAGUUACGGUUGCCGCCAUAUUGAUAUGUGACGUCAUUGGUCGGCCAUUUUAAUUGAAUUACUAAGCCCACUACAAUUAAAAAUUUUGUACUUUAGUCUAGAACUAUUCACGUCACCAUUGAUGCUGUUGUGUCAACUGUAGGCAAACUAUCAUGCGGAUAUUAAUUUUUCCCCACAUAAAUAAUAGACAAAGUGUUUGUGGUUAUCACUACUACUGUACAUAAAAUGUGAAUAAAAUCAUGUUAAAAACGCU